rnacentral:rRNA from 1 species
GUGAGGAAUAUUGGUCAAUGGACGAGAGUCUGAACCAGCCAAGUCGCGUGAAGGAAGACGGUUCUAUGAAUUGUAAACUUCUUUUGUGCAGGAAUAAAGUGGGUUACGUGUAACCUUUUGUAUGUACUGUACGAAUAAGGAUCGGCUAACUCCGUGCCAGCAGCCGCGGUAAUACGGAGGAUCCGAGCGUUAUCCGGAUUUAUUGGGUUUAGAGGGUGCGUAGGUGGGUUGAUAAGUCAGCGGUGAAAGUUUGCAGCUUAACUGUAAAAUUGCCGUUGAAACUGUCGGUCUUGAGUGCAAAUGAGGUAGGCGGAAUGUGUUGUGUAGCGGUGAAAUGCUUAGAUAUAACACAGAACUCCGAUUGCGAAGGCAGCUUACUGGGAUGCAACUGACACUGAUGCACGAAAGCGUGGGUAUCAAACAGGAUUAGAUACCCCAGUAGUCC